AUUAUAGCCAAAGCAAAGAUUUUUAUGCAGAAACUGUGCCGUCUUAAAAUUGAUUCGAAUGAUGGACUUCCUUCUGCAGAAAAUUAGGAAUGGCAUCAAUUUCUUUGACACUAGAGAGCAUAAACAACAUCAAUAUUGACAGACGUGUAGUGAUUGAUCAAGCUAAAAAUGUUGAAAUCCAUUGUUUUUUCGAUGCUUAUGAACGUUGUUUCGAAGUAGCAGUUUAUUGCAAGUCUGUAGAUUUUUCUGGGAGAACAUUGGUAAGGUUAAUCUUGAGCAAAUCAAGAGCUACUCCUUUUAAGAGCCUAUUGAUUCUCGAGGCUUGAGCUAUGUGCCACUGUCCUAUCGUCCAGGUUGGUGAAAAACGGCCUUAUCACCUUGAAAUUAGCAGUGACUCAAGUCUACUUAUGGACAGACUCAAUGAUAGCCCUCGAAUGGAUAUAAAAGGAACAUAUGGAUGAUAAGAUGUUUGUUCAGCAUAGUGUGGCCACAAUUCAAGAACUUUUCAUCUGUUCAACCGUGGCAUCGGAUCAGAAUCCAGCGGAUCUCCUGUCACGGAGUGUGGAUUCUGAUAAGCUAAGUGCAUCACAAAUUGUGUUGUCCAGCGUUGCUGGUGGGCAGUGACUAUCCAACUCAUGCAGUAUCUAUCUGAGAUAAAAGUUUAUUUGAAAAUGCCCCUAGCAAGAUUGUCACGACCAGCUAAGUGUUCAGCAUAGCCAAAUAUUCCUGAUACAACAAACAGAAAAUGAUUGCUUUGGAGAGGACAUCCACCAAUUAAUACGGCACGAGAACUGUCUUAUCUAAAAUUGCAGGGUCAACGGAUUGUUUGAAGGACAGAAACCAUAAAUCAAUCUCGGCUCCCUGAUGAAGCUAAAAAUUUCCGAGAGAAAGCACAGGCAAAGAAAUGGAGAUGCAGAGGAAAGAACUGGCUAGUUCACUUGCCAAGUGGACUAGCACAA